rnacentral:lncRNA from 1 species
CAUCGCAAGUCAAAUUUGUGUUAAUUUUGGGAUUUUGAAGUAAAAUUUGCAGGCUUAAUAGUUAUAUGUAUAUUGUGAGGAUGAGAUUCUUGCAGAUAUGAAACAUCCAUACCUUUUAAUAUUACCUCAUUUUCAAAUUGAUUUUUCUGGUUAGAUUUGUGAUGAUUUUCUCAAAAAUGUUUAGUUAAAUCGGGCAAAUUAAGCCGAUUGAAGGUUCACCAACUCUCCGUGAAUUGGGAUUUGGUAUAAUCUUUGAUUUAUUCCAUCUAAUCUUGCUGAUUUGAAGUUUAUUAGUUUUAUCAUACUGAGAUUUGUGAAUAUUUUUGGGGUUUAAUCCUAUUUUUUAUAAACCCUCUAUUGAUUUCCUCUAUCAUCCUGAGAUUUGUUUUUUUCGUCUUUCCUGCUAAUUUUUGAUGAUUCUACUUUCUGUCUCCACUGGCUAAUUUUUGGAAUUAAGUAAUCUCUCUUAAAAUAUGUAUAUUUUUUCUAUGAUUUUUAUGCUAUAUGCUGUGAAUUUUAGUUUAGGGAUGUAGUUGAAGCUUUUAAAUUAAGUUAGAUCUUAGUCACAGAUCCACUUGAAUGUUUUCAUCAAAAGUUUCUUAUUGAUUUAGGUUAACCCCCUCCCACAUUGAAAACUCAUCAAGUUCUAGUGCGUGGCUAAUUUAUCCUCUAUAUAAUCUAUAUAAUUUAAUGGUGUUAUUAGUGAAUUUAAAUUUGGAAAACAUAGUCAUCAAUCAAAUUUUCUAUUUUUAGUUUUCUAAACAAUAGAAAAUUGUUUUAUAUAACCAAUGGCAUUUCUACAAAAUAGAAAAUGAAAAAAGAAAACUGAUUUCAGAAAAUGAAAAUGUAAACUGUUCUAAUACACUUUUUCCUUUUUUUCCAGUUCAACUAUUUUCCUAGUUGUCUUUCAAUUUCUGCCAUCUAUAAGCUCUAUCUCCCCAAAAUAUGAAAGUCGUCAGUGAGCCCAUCAGAGUUCAGUCCCUAUUAAAAAUUGCCAAAUACUCACAGGCCCAAAAUUUUUCAUGCUCGCUCUCUUCCCUUCCACCUGCGAUUCCUUUUUCCCUCUCCUUCUUCACUGGCGACUCCCUUUUUCUUCUUCACCGGUGACAAUUCCCUCUCUCACUUCCUUUCUCUCUUCCUCUCCACUGCCCACAUAUACAGACACAACGAGGAGAAGAAUGGAGGAUUUAGGCGUGAGGAGGUGAAUUGAGGAGGCUUGAUUUGGGCGUGAAGAGGCGAACGGAGGAGGCUUGAUUUGGUUUUUGACUGGCGAAUUGGUUUUUUUUUAUGUAAUUUAGUUUUUUGUUAUGAGAAUUUUGCUGAUUCUUAUGGCUGACAUUUUUUACUCUAUCAUCUCUAGGCACGAAUAGCAUGUGCCUCUACUCUUGCGGUAAUGUUGGAUGGGCCAGCAUAUGUUUUUCUUCAGAUGGCAGAAUACAAGGAAUCAACUAGAUGUGGAUCUUUUAUGACACUUUCCAACUCCCUUGGUCAGAUUCUACUGCAACUCCACAUAGGUAUAUAAGAUGCAUUCUCCGUGCAUCUAGUCAACCAUGCAAGCUAUAUCUCCUUUUUGGUUCAUUCUGUUGAUGUUCCCCUUUUAUUUUUAUUUGUUUAUGUUCAAAUUAUGACAAUUUUUAAUGUGGUUUAGGCAUUCUGUACUUGAUAAAACAAGAAAAGAAUACUGAAUUGGGGGCGUCGUUGUUCAAAAUUCUCAUCCUUUUGAUAUCAUCCAUACCGUAAGAACCCUUCCUCCUGUAGUUUAUCCUAUUUGUAAAUUGGAUGUGUAUUUAAUGAAUUGCUUUAAUAUUGAUACUGCUCGUUUUAGCAUAUAUACCACAUUUAUUCAGUGACAAAAUCUUGUAAGGUUUACUCUGCUUAAAAAAAUUACUACUGCUAAGCCACUUAAGAGAAGUCCAUACAAAAGCCUUGUUUUGGAAGGAACCUUUGCUUCCAAAUGCAGGAUUCUGUAAGGAACUGAAUGGAGCACGAGAUUGAAUAAAAAGAGAAAUAUGACUAGCAAGAGUAAACUUCAGAAGAUUCAAGAGCCAAAGAGGGCAUAUCAAAGAAAAGAAAAACUGAUGAGAAUUAUGAAGAAGAACCACAGAAGUUGGCUCCCCAGUUUGGUUGAAUGAAUUUAAUUUGACCACUAAAAGACAAUAAAAUGAUACAGCUCCUCAGUUUCUUGAUAGGGGAUGAACUGAAUGAUAUUUUAUAUAGGUUUACAUCAAAUAAUAGUUCUUUCAUUUUGUGAUUAAAAAUAAAAGUAAAUCAAUAUGGUAUAGGGGAGAGGGGGAAAAAGGUUCUUCAAUAUGGUUUAAAACUGGGUGUUGAAAAAGUAAUUGAUUCCCUGUGUUGAGUGAGUAUUUCUCUGAUAAUGACUGUCUUUGGUGAAUGUCCCUGUUAACUUCUUACUGGACCUCACUCCAAAUCUUUAAUCUAUUAUAGGAUGAGGCCUAUGUUUUUUCUGCAUAAUGACCUUAAUAUUUAAUGGAAUGAGGUUUCUUAUAUUGUUUCCUUUAGGCUUCGAUCAACUCUAAUUCAACUUUACUUUACCCUUUAUGAUUUCUGUCUCCAGCCUCGAUUUCUCAUACUGUGCUCAAAUAUGGUAUAUAAGACUUGUCUCGUAAUUAAGUCUACCUUUGACAUACUAACAAGAAUGAAUAUACAUGCUUAUGAGGCCAGAUUUCUAAGGAUAUCUAGAAAAGAUCUAUAGAUUUGUAAGUAGAGUUAUUUUGUAAAUAUUUCAUAAACUAUCUGAAUAGCGGCCAAACAAGCAGCAGUAUAUAGUAGUAUUUAAACUCGAAUCUACUAAUGCUAGAAUUGAUUGUCUUACUCAAUGAGAUUUGUAUUUAUGCUUCUUUAUAAAUGUGCAUCAUUCAACAGAUAUUCAUACAUGCCUGCUGAGUUGCUGCAAACAGUUAUAUUAUGUCUCCAAGGAAGGAUUGAAGAGGGCUUCUUAUUCAAGAGUGAUCAAAGUGGACUACUAGUUAGUGUUAAUAUAUUGAUGUAUUUAUCUAUAAGUAGGCAUAGCGUUAAGCAAGUAACCUUGAGGAGCUCUUCUGACCAAUAGUACUACUUUUGAUGGAUCAAGGUUAUAUUGGGCAUAUGAUGAGUUUCCUCAGAGGAGCUCAUCUGGCCAAUAGUACUCAUUUUGAUGGGUUAAGGUUAUAUUGGGCAUAUGAUGAGUUUCCUUAGACGUGGGGUCUUGGACUAGGUAGGUGCCUAGCUUAGAUAGCCUUAAUUGUCUAAGCCUAGUUACAAUCUUGGGAAAGUCCAAUAGUGUACAACCAAAGCCCCAAACUAUCAUAUUAUGGGGGGGCUUGUAAUCUUUAAACAAUAUAUAGGUCUCAAAUUUGCUAUAAUCUGCACUUGACCUCCAAAAUUCAUGACUCAUACCAGUAUAAACAUUUUUUUAUUUUAUAUUUAUAAAAAUGAAAGUAUAAUUUGUAAUUUUUUUCUGCAAACAAUUUAAAUAUUAUUAUAGCUUUAAAUAUGUAACACAAUCAAUAAUAAUUAGAUAAAGGUAACAAUAAUAUCAUGAAUACUUCUAUAACUUUUAUUAACUUUUCCUUUUUUUUAUACUCAAAACUUAAUAAUCUAAAGGCUAAAAGUGGCAGUACAACGAAUAUAUAGUUAUCUAAAUUUCAUACAAGUAUAUAUAUAAGCUUUUCUUGCACAAAAAACAACUAUAUAUAUUAUGUAAAUGAAGAAAAAAAAUUACAAAAUUAUUGGAAAAUAAAAUAAAAGUUAGUGCACAUCCAAAUGAGAGAUGGUAGACAUUUAAGAUGUGACCAUACCAACCCUCAGGGACUAUUCUUCAUCAAGCACUAUUCUUGUAGGACCCAAUUAUGAAGGGGAGGAACUUAUCUCGCUGACCUGUGUCUGUUCUGCCUUUACCACUUAAAAAUUCUCAAGUUAUCAAUAAAUGUGUCUUUCCAAUGUCUGCUGCAACAUGUUAAAUUCUUGGUAAAUAAAUCUAUGAUGUCUGUGAUUAUAGCUAGCAUCUUUGGGGCAUAUAUUGUAUGGAAAUUUGUCGUCUCAAGAAAAGUUUUUUCACAUUGACUAAUAGCCUCAACUUUUCCAUAAUUGUUAUCCUUUCUAUAUAUAAAUCUAAACAUUGUUAUUUAAGAUUGUGUGAUGCUUGUGGUUGUUGGAUGUGACUGAAUUCUGACUUGAGGUCAACAUAUAAUAAUAAUUUACAAGUCUUGUAACAGAAAAUAUGUUUACCACUAUGCUUACUGAAAUUAAUUCAUGAAAUGGCCGAUUAAGAUUCUAUUUUUUUCUUGUAACAGAGCAAUCAUAUAGUCGCAUUGAAGGUUCUUUUUCUAUUUGGAUUUGUAGCAAAUGAUAUUGUGAUUGCCUAUUUGUCUUUUUCUGCUUAUGAGCAAUAUGGUGUACUUAAGUACCAGGUAGCAACUCUAUUGUCUUUGUGUAUUGAUUUUGGCACUAAGUGCCUCUGGUGACCUAUUUGCUUUAUUUUUCUGACUUGCUAUUAUUUUUAAAUAUGUGCAGGAAGACUGCUUCUAUGACCUGCCUUACAAUACUGGGUAUCAAAUUUCUGUGUUACGUUUACGGAAGACAAGGGACUAAAUUAUGAAGUGUACUCUCUCUAUAUAUGUAGAUAUAUACUUUGAUUGAAGAACUGUGGUAGCUUUAAACGAUUAAUUGUAAAGAUAAUGAAUGAUUAUGAAGUGGAUG